rnacentral:misc_RNA from 1 species
AACGCACAUUGCGCCCUUUGGCAUUCCGAAGGGCAUGCCUGUUCGAGCGUCAUUAUCAACCCUCAAGCCCGGCUUGCAGUUGAGCCCCCGCCCGUGACAGGGCCGGCUCGAAAGACAGCGGCGGCGUCGGACGGACCCCGGAUGCAACGAGCUUUUGACGAGCACGCAUCGUGGCGGCCGGCCGGCGCCCGCCUCGCCCCCUCCCCCCUCGGGGACCCUUUCUAUGGUUGACCUCGGAUCAGGUAGGAAUACCCGCUGAACUUAA